GAGAUGUUGGGUUAAGUCCCGCAACGAGCGCAACCCUUGAUNUUAGUUGCCAGCAUUCAGUUGGGCACUCUAAGGUGACUGCCGGUGACAAACCGGAGGAAGGUGGGGAUGACGUCAAAUCAUCAUGCNCCUUAUGACCUGGGCUACACACGUGCUACAAUGGACAGAACAAAGGGCUGCAAGACCGCAAGGUUUAGCCAAUCCCAUAAAUCUGUUCUCAGUUCGGAUCGCAGUCUGCAACU
rnacentral:rRNA from 1 species